CGGACGGGUGAGUAAUGUCUGGUAAACUGCCUGAUGGAGGGGGAUAACUACUGGAAACGGUAGCUAAUACCGCAUAACGUCGCAAGACCAAAGAGGGGGACCUUCGGGCCUCUUGCCAUCAGAUGUGCCCAGAUGGGAUUAGCUAGUAGGUGGGGUAACGGCUCACCUAGGCGACGAUCCCUAGCUGGUCUGAGAGGAUGACCAGCCACACUGGAACUGAGACACGGUCCAG
rnacentral:rRNA from 1 species